GGCAUCUGGGGCAUCUACAAAGGAAGGCAGUUAGAAGACUUUCAAGCUUUCUUUUUCAGCAGGGCUCAUCUGGCAGCUGGCUGGAGUUAGUAGGAGAUGAGAGAGGUAUAUGAGAAGAAAAUGCUAGAAACUGCUCAGUGUCUGAAGUCAACCUCAGCUAAAUACCAGAAGACCCCAGAAAUGUGAGCCAGCUGCUCAGAUGCUCAGGGAAAUGACCUGAGAAGAAAGAGCCAGGUGACACAUCCCAGGAAAUGGAUCCUGUCCUAAAAGGAACAUGCAUUCAUCAUUCAGAUAACUUCUGCCACUGAAAAGCCAUCUGGAUAAACAAGGAAAGAGUUACACAACCGUUGCACAGAUCCUCAUCCCCUCCUGUCCACUUGUAGAAAGGCAGAUGUGUUAAACAAGGCUUCAUCUGUGGGCAGAGAGGAGAAUGGGAGAACGUAGGGGAGAAAGCACAGCCUGGAAUUCCUGAGGCCAGCAGUAAGGACAACAAGUGCUGUGCUUCUGUCAUCAAAUCCUUUGUGUCAUGCACAAUACUCAUAACUGGAAGUUAGGCAGUGAAGACCUCAGAACAACACAGUUGUGUCACCAGGAGAAAAUGGAAACCUGGAUCCUCAGAAGAAUACCUGCAGAAUUUCAUUUUCCUCCAGCUUCUCCACUUCUAAACAAGGCAUUGCUAAAUGCCAUCACAGGAUCCAUCUUAUUCCUACACCUCAACCACACCACUGCCCAGGUAGCAAGUCUCCAUUGCAAGAGAUGGUCAUCAGCUGACCACCCUGCAUUACCUGUCCUCACUCAGAAGCCCUGUGCCCCCUCAUUCCUCCCAGGCGCCUCUCCUUCUGCUCUCCAGCAGGUGCCAAGAUCUUUCCAGAUCUUUCCCUUGUGCUCCAUGUCUUCCAGAAGAAAGGAGAAAGUUGGAGGUAGCUGAUGACUUGGGGAGGCAAGACAGUCUGAAAUUCAGUAGAUACCAUUGGAGCACUGUGAUGAUUUUCUACAAAGUCAGAAUGGAGAAGGAAUAAAUUAUUGCUAAAGAUUCACAGGCUGACAAGAACCUUAUCUGGAAGCGAUUGGAAGACGUUUUCAUUAGUGUUACCAUUUAUAGCUGUAAAUAAUAGGAGAAGCGUUAACCCAAGAAAGCCUAUUGUCACCUGCCUCCAAAGACAAGAGAAAUCUUUGAGGAAGAGCCGUGUACAGUGCUGUUUUUCCAGUUUGGAGGGGUCAGCAUAGAAAUCUGACUGGUAGCGUCAAAAACUGAAUGAAACAUGCACCCCUCAAAAAACAAGAAGAAAUGGUGUAUUGCAGAGACUUCAUUCCCCCUCACUUAAGAGGAAAGGCUAUAGGUCAGACUGGGAAGUCAUAGCAAUCUGUAUGUAUUCACAGACUGAGCUGAAUCCCUCAUAAAUAGUGGAAUAUCAUCUGGGAGAAAGUCCGUUAUGAGAACAGUCUUGGAAGCUAGCUAGAAUAUGGCAAAUCUACGGAGCAGCUGAGAUAACAAGAACACACGCAGGCGAGUUAAGGGCAGAAGGAAAUGGGUGUACAGUGUGUGUCAUAAAUUACAAAAGGAGAGUAAGCAGGGUGUGCAUGGGAGACUGAAUGCUGUGAGCAAAGGUCAGGACCAAACACUGAAAUGAAAAGGUACAUGUGUGAUGCAGCAGAAGCUGUAACCUAACUCGUUUGUAGGAAAAUUCACAAGGAGGUGGGAAAGGAAAUAUUUUUAUUUACUUUUUUGUCUUCCCUGCCAAAUACUGCGGGUCAUUAGCUGGGACAAGCUGUUGGUAACAGAGCAGGCUCUCCAGAGACCGAGUUCUUACAUCCCAUCUCUGAGGCUUAAAGUUGAGGCAUCUCAGAGGGUCACAUCAUCUACAGAGACCAGCAUUUCCCAUAGAACUGGCCUGAGAUGCCUGGCUGCAGUGCCAGAGGCAAGCUGGGAUUGUUUCUCAUCACAGAACUGAAAGCAGCAGGAUUUAAGGGAAAUAAGAAGGCAAAGGUUGGCCUGUUUGAUUCAGAUAGUCCCUUCUAGCAUAAAGGGAGUUGCUAUAGACAAUUCCAGCUUAUGGCAUGAGCUCUCCUCUGAGCACUUCUAGAGAGGCAUUUAAAUCCCUGCUCUACACGCAGGCUGCAAAAGACAUGGAUCAGACCCAGGGAUGUCUGUCCUGUUUUAGUAUUCUAAGUGCAGGUUCCUCCCCCAGUGCUCAGGGGAAGGGCUGUGCAGUGGCAGAGCCAUCAUUUACAGAUGAUGAUGUGGGCUUCAGUCUUUAUUUUUGCUGUUCAAAUCCUCUGUGUCCUGUGACUUUGUUCCUCAUUCAUAAACAGUGAAAAAUAUCACUUCCUUGUUCUGAAGAAGAGAAUAGCUUGAGAUAUGAUGCUGCAUCUGUAGAUGCCAUGGAAUACUGCAGCUGUGAAAUACGGCUUUGUUCUUGCAUAAAACAUAUGCAUGCAAUAUUACUUGCACAAGGGGAAUGAACCUGAAGCAUGAGCUCAACUGCUGAAUUUCAAGGAAAGAAAUCUGCAUGACAUCCUGAAGUCCUGUAUGAUUCCAUCCCACUCCCCAUCCCCACCAUGCUGCUUGACAUGUUUAAAAUCUCCAGAGAUCCUCCUUUAAGAUACGAGUGUUUCCCAUUGUGCUAGCUUUUAUUAGAUUUCGGGUGCCAUUCAGUUAACCCCCCCUCAGCCACUUGAAUUCUUGAAAU